UUGAUCCUGGCUCAGAAUCAACGCUGGCGGCGUGCCUAACACAUGCAAGUCGAACGCGAAAGUCCCGCAAGGGAUAAGUAGAGUGGCAAACGGGUGAGUUACACGUGGGUGACCUGCCUCCGAGUGGGGGAUAACGUCCCGAAAGGGACUCUAAUACCGCAUAACAUCCUGCCCUUGAACGGGUGGAGAUCAAAGCCGGUGAUCGCAAGACCUGGCGCUUGAAGAGGGGCCCGCGUCCGAUUAGCUAGUUGGUGAGGUAACGGCUCACCAAGGCGACGAUCGGUAUCCGGCCUGAGAGGUCGGACGGACACACUGGGACUGAGACACGGCCCAGACUCCUACGGGAGGCUGCAGUGGGGAAUUGUUCGCAAUGGGCGCAAGCCUGACGACGCAACGCCGUGUGGAGGAUGAAGACCUUCGGGUCGUAAACUCCUUUCGAUCGAGACGAAUGGCUUCCGGGUGAACAGUCCGGGAGAGUGACGGUACCGAGAGAAGAAGCUCCGGCUAACUCCGUGCCAGCAGCCGCGGUAAUAAGGU
rnacentral:rRNA from 1 species